CUGGCUCAGGACGAACGCUGGCGGCGUGCCUAAUACAUGCAAGUCGAGCGGACCUCUUCGGAGGUCAGCGGCGGACGGGUGAGGAACACGUGGGUAAUCUGCCUUUCAGACCGGAAUAACGCCCGGAAACGGGCGCUAAUGCCGGAUACGCCCGCGAGGAGGCAUCUUCUUGCGGGGAAAGGCCCAAAUGGGCCGCUGAGAGAGGAGCCCGCGGCGCAUUAGCUGGUUGGCGGGGUAACGGCCCACCAAGGCGACGAUGCGUAGCCGACCUGAGAGGGUGACCGGCCACACUGGGACUGAGACACGGCCCAGACUCCUACGGGAGGCAGCAGUAGGGAAUCUUCCGCAAUGGGCGCAAGCCUGACGGAGCAACGCCGCGUGAGCGAAGAAGGCCUUCGGGUUGUAAAGCUCUGUUGCUCGGGGAGAGCGGCAUGGGGAGUGGAAAGCCCCAUGCGAGACGGUACCGAGUGA
rnacentral:rRNA from 1 species